UGAGGGCACAGCUGUCUCCCCUGUGCCGGCUCCUUCCCCUGAUCUGUGCCCGUGAUGGGGCGACAGCGUUGGGGACUCCUGCAGAAUCCUUACACCUUUCUAUGAAAGCCACACGUGCACAGUGUCCACAGGCAAGGGAAACAAAAGAAAAAAUAAGCAAGUGGGACUACAUCAGACUAAAAAGUUUCUGCACAGCAAAGGA